rnacentral:rRNA from 1 species
AGUGAACGCUGGCGGUAGGCCUAACACAUGCAAGUCGAACGGCAGCACAGUAAGAGCUUGCUCUUACGGGUGGCGAGUGGCGGACGGGUGAGGAAUACAUCGGAAUCUACUUUUUCGUGGGGGAUAACGUAGGGAAACUUACGCUAAUACCGCAUACGACCUACGGGUGAAAGCAGGGGAUCUUCGGACCUUGCGCGAUUGAAUGAGCCGAUGUCGGAUUAGCUAGUUGGCGGGGUAAAGGCCCACCAAGGCGACGAUCCGUAGCUGGUCUGAGAGGAUGAUCAGCCACACUGGAACUGAGACACGGUCCUGACUCCUACGGGAGGCAGCAGUGGGGAAUAUUGGACAAUGGGCGCAAGCCUGAUCCAGCCAUACCGCGUGGGUGAAGAAGGCCUUCGGGUUGUAAAGCCCUUUUGUUGGGAAAGAAAAGCAGCAGGUUAAUACCCCGCUGUUCUGACGGUACCCAAAGAAUAAGCACCGGCUAACUUCGUG